rnacentral:rRNA from 1 species
GACGAAGGGCGUGGGUGUUAUUCGUUUUGAUUGGGUGUAAAGGGUAGGUAGGCGGUUUCUUGUUUUUCUUGGACAAAAUCGCGGAGAGUUCCUACGCGAAAGUCCUUUUAUUAAAAGAAUCUUGUGUUGAGUAUAGGUUUAGGCAAGUUCGCUUUAGUAGGGGUAGAAUCCAUCAAUAUGCGAACGAACGCCAGUAGGCGAAGGCGCUUUUCCCGACUCAACAGACGCCUGAGCUACGGAAGCUUAGGGAGCAAACGGG